rnacentral:lncRNA from 1 species
CCCACCCUUCCCGGGAUGGUUGGAAUAGUUGGAGCGGGAGACUAGGGCCUCCGCUGGCGGCGGGAGCGGGACGGGCGGAGGAAUGCGAGCUGAGGAACGGAAUCAGGUUCUAAGAGUGUUGCUCUCUGUUUCCCUCUCACUUGAAUUGCUCAUCCGAAAAUCCUCAAGAUCUGGGAGCCGGGUGGACCAGGAGAUUCUGAAAUUAUAGGCAAAAUCUUGUAUUUGCCUUUACCUAGAUUUUGAGCACAAAAGGACCCUUGCCCUUUACAAUAUUUUCUAAGAGGCCUCUCGGAUUUCCUCAUCACCAACCCCAACCAGGUUACUAACUCAGGGAGGCAGCUGACACCAAUCUCAGUGAGCAGGAUCUAGGAGUCCAUUUCUCUUUCAAGAUUCCAGGGACUAACAGUAAGCCAUCGGAGAGACCAUCAAAUCCCACCCCCUCAUUUGACAGACAGGAAAAGGAAAGCCUGCAGAAGACAGGUGGCUUGCCAGAGAUCACUCGCAGGUGGAGUUUUGCUCUUGUUUCCCAGGCUAGAGUAUAGUGG